CCUACGGGUGGCAGCAGUGGGGAAUAAUUGGCAAUGGGCGCAAGCCUGACCCAGCAACGCCGCGUGAAGGAAGAAGGCUUUCGGGUUGUAAACUUCUUGUCUCAGGGACGAAGCAAGUGACGGUACCAGAGCAAUAAGCCACGGCUAACUACGUGCCAGCAGCCGCGGUAAUACGAAGGUGGCAAGCGUUAUCCGGAGUUACUGGGUGGAAAGGGCGUGUAGGCGGGUAAGCAAGUCGGAUGUGAAAGCCAUGGGCUCAACCUGUGGCCUGCAUUUGAAAAUGCUUUUCGUGAGUACUGGAGAGGCAGACGGAAUUCCUGGUGUAGCAGUGAAAUGCUUAGAUAUCAAGCAGAACCCCGGUGGCGAAGGCGGCCUGCCGAGCCAUAACUGACGCUGAUGCACGAAAGCGUGGGGAUCAAACAGGAUUAGAUACCCCAGUAGUC
rnacentral:rRNA from 1 species